rnacentral:lncRNA from 1 species
GUUUGGCCAAUGAGACAGCAAGUAGACGGGACUAGGAGUCAAAGAGGAUUCUGGGAAAUGUAGUAGAGAAGUGAUGAUCCAGGCAGGAAGUGACACAGCAAGGAGACUCAUACUUAAGUGAAGGAGAAAGAGGAAGGCCCUCUUUUCCCCUCAGCUCCUGCUCCAGCGGCACGAUGUGAUCCACCAGCAAGGAGGGACGCCAAUAAGGCGUCCGAUAAGAUAAGUCUUAUAACAUAUAUAGAUUUAUGAUAGUUAAGACUGAGCUAACAGAUGAGAAUCCUAGUCAUUGGCCAAGCAGCUUUGUACCUAAUACAAGUUUCUGUGUAUUCAUUUGGGCCCAACUCGGGCAGGCGGCUGUCGUAAAGCUCACACAUGGCGGUGGGGCUCGGCGGCUUUUGGCAGAAAGAUUUAUCGUAACAAGGGCCUUGGACCAUGUGAUGGAAUAUCUCCACUCUCACUGUUUGCAGGCUUCAGAACUGGAGCAAGUUCCCAACCCACUCCACCUCUUUGCGUAUGUGCAGAAUGAACAUAUUUAUCUCCAGAGACUGGGAUAAUAUAAAUAAAGUCCUUGACCUUCAGAAGAUUCCCAUCUUCCACCAACAGGGCUGACCUUAUAAACAUUCUCAUCCGAAGCUUGCCUGAAGUUAGACAUACACUAUCACAGGACACCAGCAUGGACUACAAACACAACUCCAUGCUGUGGUGAAGACUAGAUUCUUGACUGUACCACAGAAAACAAUUUGGGGUCCUACCUGCCUGUGCAAAGCAGACUUGGGGCUUAUCAGGAAGAGAUUUUAGCAUAGAUCCAAGCAAGGCAGUUAAGAAAGAGAUGCUCAAAGAAACAAGAUAACACAACCCAAGCUUGUGAGUGUGGCUUCUCAAGAGAGGUUGCUCUUGGUGCCUUAGCUGGAAUAGGAAUUUCAAGUCUUGACAUUUUCAAAGAUUUUCUAAGAAACUCCUCUUUACUCUCCUUUGUUCCAGUUUUUGAUAAAUGAAGUUAUAGAAUAGCUCAGCCUUAGACAAAAUUACAAUAUGAUCCUGUUAAAUCAUGAGUCACAAAGGUAGGACAAGAAGAUGAAGAUGUGUUUUUUACUGUAAAUGGGGGUCCUCGAAAAAUUCCUAGAAAUCAUCAGGUUAACAGCUUGAGAAGGGAAAAAGCCAUACAUGCUUAGGCCUUAAGCAUAAUUCAUUGCUAUUUUAACAGUUUUACUUGAAAAUCCAUAUAAAAGGAGUAUUGUCUACAUGCAGCCAGCCUUCACAGCAAGUGUUAAUUGUGCUGGAAUUCCUGCCUCUGAGCUGGCACUGAAUUUGUUGUUUCUCCUGAGCUCACCGCCACUCCAGCUCUCCUGAUACAACUAGCUGUCCAGGAAUUCCAUUCAGAUCUGUAUGGAAGAGGCUUAUUCCCAAGACCGCCCCUAUCCCAGCUGCCACCUGCAGCUUAUUUCUCAUUGGCUAUCAGUCAGGCUUUCCCUGGCCCCAUUCUCAUACUGAUGAUUUCUAAAAUGAUCUCAUAAGAAUUUAUGGAAGUGCUAUAGUAACUAUUACCAGUUUAUAGUAAAGGGUAUUUUUUUGUAUGUAAAUUGCUAGCCAAGAGAACGGACACAUGGGGUGAGGUUCUGGAAUGGACUUGAGUGACCCAGUGACCUCACGAGGGUUGCGUUUGCUGAUGUAACAGCCCAAACCCCAUUGUUCAGAGUGGAAAAAGCACACAGCAGAGCAAACUUCUCACCUCAUUGUUCAGGAAGAGGAGCAGAAGGAGGGAACCAAAAGAAAAGGAGAGGCAGAAGGAAGAAGAUGGAGAAAAGAGGGAGAAGCAUUGACAAUGAAAAAGUGGAAAGGAGGGAGAAGUGGGGGAGGAAGAGAUGGAGAGAAACGGAGGAAUACGAAGCAGAGGAGGAGAGACGUUCUACCACCUCCUAGUUGGACCACACCGGGGCCCAAACUUUUAGCACACAGACUUUUGAAAGGAAAUUGACCACGAAACCAUAGGAAAGCAGUGUGCCGGGCUGCUCUCAAACGGCAGAACCUGUGCCUUCAGUCAUGACUUCAUUGUCUACUUCGUAACUUGUCAGACAACUUGAAGUGUGUGUGUGUGUGUGUGUGUGUGUGUGUGUGUGUGUGUGAGAGAGAGAGAGAGAGAGAGAGAGAGAGAGAGAGAGAGAGAGAGAGAGAGAGAGAGAGAAUGAGAGAGAGCAUGAGAGAGAGCAUGAGAGAGAGGGGGAAGGAGGGAGAGAGAUUGUGUUCACUAGGGGCUCAAAGUUAGAGCUAUAUUGAAUGUUAUUUCAUUGUAGUUUAAAUGAGGAAGAAGCUGUGUUUAAGUGUAGUUUGAAAAUUAAACAAGAUAAUGAACACAACAAAACCCCCUAAGACUCGGGGAACAUCAUGGGAGGUACAUCAUGGGAGGUACUGAGAAAGGGUAGUGGGGAAUUAAAAUGGACCAAAAUGCAUUGCAUACAUGUGUGAAAUACCAACGAAUUUUUAAAAAGAAAUCAAGACAAUAAUCUCAUUUACAACAGCUAUUAAAAAUAUUUAGGGAUCCUGAGCAAUGGUAGGACACACCUUUCGUCUCAGCCCUCACACGGGAGGCAGAGGCAGGUGGGUUUCUGUGAGUUUGGGACCAGCCUGGUCUACAAAGAGAGUUCCAGGACAGUCAGAGCUGUUACACAGACAAACCCUGUCUUGAAAUACCAGUAAAAUAAAUUAAAAAGAUAUUUAGGGAUGAAUUUGACUGAAGAGACUUAAAAAACCUUAUCCACUGAAAACUAUAAAAUCUUAGGACUAUAAAUAGAUGAAGACAGAAAUAGAAAGAUAACCUGUGUUCACAACUGAAUUGUUAAUGUUAAGAAAUUUAUGUUACCCAAAGCAGACUACAGAUUAAAUGCAAUCCCCAUCACAAUUCCAAUAACAUUUUUCACAGAAAUAAAAAAGAUGAUCCUAAAAUUCAUCUAGAAACCACAAAAUAAGAUCAAAAGUUAAGGUGAUCUUGAGCAAAAAGAACAAAGCCAGAGGCAUUUGUUUCUGAUUUCAAAUUGUGCUAAAAGCUCUAAUAACUAAAAUAGCAUGGUAAUGACACAAAAAUCUAUACUAUGGCCAGUGGAACACAACAGAUUUCCAAGAAAUAAGCCCUCACAUUUGUGGUCCACUGACAUAACAGGAAAAAGAGAUGUUCUCUGUAAUAAAGAGAAUAAGGAAAACCAGAUAGAUGCAAAAGAAUCGAAUUAGGCCUCAAUCUUAUAUCAUGUGAAAAGUUAAUACAAAACUGAAGCUGGGUCCUAUGGUGUAUUCCUUGGAUUCUAGCAUUUGAGACAGAGGGAGGCAGAUGUCUGAAUUCAAGGACAGCCUGCCUGACAUAGCGAGUUACAGAAUAGCCAAUGUCACAUAGAGAUACUUUCUCAGAACAACAACAAUAACAAAUUAAUACAAAAUUGAUUUUAAGUUUAGACAUGAGAUAUAAAACUAUAACAUUAGCCGGGCAGUGGUGGUGCAUGCCUUUAAUCCCAGCACUUGGGAGGCAGAGGCAGGUGGAUCUAUGUGAGUUCAAGACCAGCCUGGUCUACAAGAGCUAGUUCCAGGACGGCCUCUAAAGCCACAGAAAAACCCUGUCUCGAAAAACCAAAACAAAAAACAAACAAACAAACAAAAAAAAAACUGUAGCAUUCUAUAGCAUUACUAGAAGAAAACAUAGAUCUGAGCAUAUGGCUGGUAAAGGGUCAAUGUCUAAAGUGGAUAUGGAACUGAAAUUACUCAAUAGUAAGAAAAAUAACAUUUUUUUAAAUGAGCAAGACCCUUGCUCAAAAGAAGACUAUGAAUGGUUAAUUUUUAUGAAAAAAAUUCUCAAAAUCACUAUUAGAGAAACGAAAGUUAGACCCAUAGGGAGAAGGCAUUUAUAAUUAAAAAGAAACAAAUAAUCAGAACAAAACAAAGCACUAGGAAUAAGUAACUCCUGAGAACUCAGCUCUACAUGGCACAUCUACAUCACACUCUCCGAGACUCAGGAGCAUCCCAGAAGAAAAGGAAAAUGCACAAGUGAGAUACUGUGAAACGCUGUCUUCAGACAUAGUGUGGCUUUUGCACUUAUGACUUCACAACAGCUGAAGUUACCUGCACCAGAUGGACCCCAUCAUCAGAGAUGGGGGGUAGGCUCCUAAGGCUCACCUCUUCCUGAGCAAUGCUGCAAGUUAAUGGUUGCUGGGGAAGGGCAAUUUUUUUCCACCAGUGUUUUUGUUAUUUGCAACACAGGUGAAAUGUGGAGAAACACCAUUUCACAUAAUACAGAGCACCAGGUAUAAGUACCACACAUGUCUAAGUACCACACCUCCUCACUUAGGUGCAGAAUCUGAAAAGGCAAACUCACAGGAGAAAGUUGGAUGGUGGUUACCCCAGGGUUGGAGGGAUGGAAAGAUGCUCGUUAAAAAGUACAGAGUGUCGGUUAUCCCAAAGAAACAGUUUUGAGAUUAAUUAUAUAGGGGGUAACAGUUAACAACACUGUGGCUUAUAUUCAAAUUGCUAACCGAGUAAAAUUCAGUUGUCCUAACCACAGAAAAUGAUAAGUGCUUUUGAUGACAGAUUGCUAUUUAGUUUGAUUUAGUUAUUCCACAUUAUACAUAUAAAUUUUACAGCAAAUUAUUAUUUGACAAACCAUUACAGCUUUUCUCUAUGUAGAAAAAUCAUGUAAGUGUCAAAGAAAAAAAUAACCCAUAAUCUUUCUAAUAUAUUUCCUUUCCAGAGUUCCUAAACCUUCUAAAUCAUAAAAAUGUUUCUACUUUUCCUGAAACUGGCAUCCCUUUAGCACAUUCUGUUUUAUAUUUUAUCUGUAAGUGAACAAGUCCUAAGUUGUCCUUUGAUACUGAAUAUCAGAACGACAGGCUGUUUCUUGUGCGUACCCACCUUUUAAAACUCUUUUAGACAUAAUUCAAUACUUUUCCCAGAGGAGAAUGAAUGAAUGAAUGAAUGAAUGUUUGAAUGACAAAAUUAACCUGGGGGCAGAUUCGCUUCCAGCCCAAGUCCUUUUGGUUAUUAGAGAAUGACAAGCCCAUCAAUGUACUCAAAGGGUGAAACAAAAGAGUUGCAGUGUGUGGUACACACUUAUAUCUUGGGAUCAGUGUGUGUGUGUGUGUGUGUGUGUGUGUGUGUGUGUGUGUGUGUGUGUUUAAACAGGGUCUCUCACUAAAUCCAAACCUUACCAGCUGGCUAGACAGGCUGUCCAGUGAAUUUCAAUAUCUGCCCAUCUCCACCCUCCCAGCACUAAGCUUACAGAUACCUACCACUAUGCCUGGCUUUUAUGUUGGGCUUUUGGGUCUGACUUGUGCAGCGAGACUUACCUAAUUGCCUUUUGCAAUUGUCCUUGUGACAGGAACCAAUCUGGAGACCUUUGGUUAAAAGGCUUGCUUUCUCUUAGAUUUGAUGUCUUUUUCUCUAAAGAAAAUAUAUGUGGAAAUUAAGUAAUAUGGCAAUUAAUAAAGUGUCCAUGCACAUAGAAGCAGCACUAAUUGGAUUCAGUUUAUUAAAAUAAAGACGACAUCAUGAAGAUGGAAGGAAGACAUAGUGUGUGCAUGGCCAGGGGCUGGGGAGGGGGUCUGGAAGGAUCUGGGGAUAUGCUCAGAAUAUGAUAUAUGUGAAAUAUAUAUAUAUAUAUACAUAUAUAUACGUAUAUAUGUGUAUAUACGUAUAUAUAUAUAUAUAUGAAAUUCUCCAAGAAUAAAUUUAAAAGUAUUUCAAUGUCUUACCUUCAUAAUAUAUAAAAAUAGCAUUUUAAAAAAAGCUAUCAUGAUUGUGCCUGCAGCAAGCACUUGCUCACAGAUGAUCAAAGCUCUGCCUCCAGGCCUGGCUUGCCCGUGACUGAGCCCUUGUGCAGCGCUGAGCUGGUCAUUGCUAGGUACCCAAGAUUCUUCCUCUCAAAUGACCAUGAACUCUCUUCUGGUUCAGUAUUACAUUUUUAUCUAUCUUCUCUGUGUGCUGCUGGAGUACCUGCUGUAUCUGGUAUCAACACACUUGCACCCCUGGCGAUUGUACUCCCCACCCUGACCCUUACCUGCAGUCACUGAUUCUACCAGCACGGACUCUCCUUGUCCUUUGCAGCACUGGCUCCUUGAGAAAAGAUGGCUAUCUGGACAGUGGACUCCAUGUUGUCAUUGGAAUUAAGGCAUCACUUUAUGUUUCUGUUCUGCACAGUUCCACUCAUUUCCUCUGAUUGGCAAGACUGGGGGAUUAUUAUUGCCACUUCAAGAGGCACUGAAGUGUACGUGUCACAUUUGUGCAGGAAUGGUUCCUUGUGAGGCUUCUGCCUGUUCUUGAUGGGUUUCACCACCUUUGGAAAACAAGUAGAGACCAUAAAUGGUUUUUUGGGGGCGGGGGAGGUAGUUGGUUCUUUGGGACAGGGUUUCUCUAUGUAGCCCUGGAACUCACUAUGUAGACCAGGCUAGCCUCAAACUCAGAGAUCUGCCUGGGAUUAAAGGUGUG